rnacentral:lncRNA from 1 species
AGCAAGAACAAAGGAAGAAAAGAAAGAACAAGAACCCUAGGGUGAAAAUUCUAGAGAAAAUUUAUGGAUUUCAAGUAAUCAAACAAUCAAAGGUAAAAUUUCUUGAUUUUGACUUGUGAUCUACCUGUCCCAUACAUUCUUUUGCAUUUUCCAUGGUUGAAUCACAUGAUUUCAUGAUGGGUAUCUUGCUGGCUGAACACUUAGAGAGAGGUUUUGAUGCUUGAUUUGGUUAGAUUUCAAUGUUUUUUAGUUGAUUGGUGAUGUGUAGCAUGAAAAUCAAGCAAGAAAAAUUCAUGUUCUUCCAUCACCCAUCAUUGGCCGAAUUCUCCAUGUGGAAUAUUGAGGAUGAUUUUGAUUUUAUUUCAAGUGAUUUGGUUAAGAAUUAGUGAUUUAUGGUGUGAGAAUCAAGCUUGAAAAAUUAUAGUGUUGAUGCACCCACCAUGGCCGAAUUUUCGAAGAGAAAAUGUGAGGAUGAUUUUGCCAUAUUUCAAGUUAUUUAAUUUGUGCUUGAUGAUUUGGAGUAUUGGGAGAAAAGUGGAAUUAUUUGGAGCUGAAUUGGACGUAUUGGCCAAUUAAUCGGGUGAUAGAUUGAAUUACGCCAAUACCGUUUUAUUUAGGUACAUAAUUGAAUUUAUAUUGAACAUCGUAUUUAGAUAGUUACCCAAGUAUUUCACCUCCCAUUUCAUGCAUUAGUAUAGAGCCUGAAUUGGUUUUAUAACAAUUUAGCAAAAAUGUAGUAAAUGGCUUAUUGUGUAUUAUGUCUAGGUAGUGAGCAUUCUGGCAAAAGUAAAGAGAUAGUACCCGAGGAUCAAGAAUUGGAAUACUCAAAAUUCGACUCUCGAAAUAGUGAGUAACCUUACUAUCGUCUUAAUUAUCUAAAGUGGUUUUUAUUAGAUUUUGUGAUUUUAUGGAAAAUGAGUUUAAAUAGUAAAUCUUUAUGUUUUAUAAACAAAAUGUGUUGAAAUGAAAUGAUUUUAUAAAAUUGUCUUGAAAUUGAAAGAUGGUUUUGAAAAUGGAGUAAUUGGAGACUAAUUGCUAUGUUAUAAAUCAUGGUUUGAAUUGAAUGGCUUAUGAUAAUAUUGGCAUGAAUGGAUGAAUUGGUAUUUGUGUUGAAAAUGUAUAAACUGUUGUUUGCCUUGAUAGGCUGGAUAAUGAUAAAAUUACCAUGUCAUGUUGUUGAAUUUUAUUGAAUUGGUGGGUUAUUGAGUAGUCG